GAAGGUGAACCAGUUGAUUUGCACAAACGUGAGGUUAAGAGACCGAGGAAUGAAAAAGGAUCAAGAUCAUGGUUUGGGAUCGGGACCAAGACUGGUCGAGUCGAAGCAAGAUGAGGAGACGAGAUCAUGAAUAUUGGGUUUCGAGCGCGAUGGCGUUAGAUGCGCCCUACCUGUUGAAGCUCCUCCUAAGUUGAAGGGUCUUUCUUGGACAGAUUCUACAAAUCAAAUGCAGCCAUGGAUCCAUUAGAGCGUGCUGCAUUCCUUGAAAAAAAUAGGAAGAUGGAAGUAGCUCAUUCAGUAGCUGCUACUGCUAGUGAAACUGAGAUGAAGAAUGGAGAAUUAAAAGAAAUACGACCAAGCGAGCGGCGUAUGCAAACAAAAAGUUAUCUAUGGCCCAUGAUGAAAUGAAUCAUCAUGGUAUUAGUUUAUAUACAUAACGUACAAUAGCCUCCUUAUAUCUUUACUUCAAUUUGACCUUGAAAAUUAACUAGCCUUUGUUUGAUUGAUCAUAGAAAAGAGGGGAAUUAAACCCCUUACCUCACCCUUGCAAGCACCUAAGUGCUGCCACCCAUGCCACUAGGCCACAAGGAAGGCCAUCGGCUUUCCCCUUUUGUUUGUGUUUCUUAUUGUUUCCACAUCUGCUAUCUUUUUGCUAAAUGAA